CAGGAUGUUGAUUAUUAAAAUGUUGGAUUUGCACACAGUGAAUUUUUAAAUGUUGAGUUGGGCCAGAUUUGGUCCCCAAGCCGUCCCAAUCCGGCCCGCGAAGUGAAGGCAGGAAAGGUUUGCGGUAUACACAAGCCGCAUACGGUAUACUUAUUAAUCACAGAGUGACCGAUCACGGGACUUUAGCUGGCAUGCAAUGUGGCCCUCUGGUGAAAAAGUUUGGAGACCCAUGGUCUAGAUGAUGCCAAGAGCCUUGUUUGGUCAACAAAAGGUUAAGUUAGAAAAUCGUUGAGGAAAGGAGAGCGCAGGGUGCUCCGGCUGCGCGCGCGUUAUGAACAGCCGCGCCUGCUGUCAGCACGUGUAGUUGCAAGGUACCACCGCGCACCAGCUGCGUGCGCGUGAAGGAGUAAGCGCCCAGAUGCGCGCACGAGGAGGCGGCGCGUUAGCCGCGCGCGCGUGAUGACGUAGGCGUACUAGCUGUACGCACGAGUAGGCAGCGUGCAAGUAGGCUUAUUCAAGUCGGAGAGCAAGUUGGUAAAGAACGAGCGAGGGUUUCUUGAUGGUGCGUGGCCUGACUUGGCCCCGCACGGACCCUUAAUACAGUGUUGCUCUUUUGGGAGCUGACUGUAGACUGCCUGUAAGAUGGCCGCUGGCCUGCUUAAAUACUAAAGCCUAGGAAUCACGAAUACAAAAUUUGAAAUUUAAAAAUAGUAACAGACCAGUUAUAUAAAUAUCUUUAUAAAUUUAAAACAUCCUAUUCCGAAAGUAUACAGACUAAUCUCUUUGGUAGCAAAUUUAGAAAAUCGAAGGUAACUUGACGGUUUACGUCAAUCACGUAAAUAAAUAUGUCAAACAAUUAGGAAUGCAGAAAAUAAGAUUAAUUCAGCUACAAAACUAACCAAAAUUAUAUAAAAUAAGAGGAAAAGCAGUGAGGAGGAAGACGGAUACUCUUUGGCAGUAUUGACUACUUGAGGCGUUGCUGCUGAAUGUAGCAAUGGGUGAUGAAAACGCUCGCACCCGUCGACACCACAUCGACCGAUCUUGCAUGACUUCCACCGAUGUGAUUUAGGUUCCAUUACAGCGGUGAAAUAUUGAAGCAUCGGACAUAAAAACAAAUUGGGCCUCAAACAAACUUUCAUGCCCCAACUUUCAUACCUUAGGCCAAAUACUGGAACAUUUGCUUUUAUCUACAAAGGGCCCGAGAAUACCCCACGUACUCGUUACAGCAAGGUCAGCUCAUUGAAUAAACUUCCCGAGAAAACUUCGAACCGUGGAAUUAUUAGGUGCUACGCACCUCUGGAAUGCGCACUAACAGAAAUAAUUCGAAUAAUCGAGGACAUUAAGGUUGUAAUUACAAGUAUUUUACUGGUGUUAACUUACAAAAAAAUAGUAACCUAACGCGUCAAAUAUUUAAAAGAAUAUAGUUUGGCUUGCCUAGUGUAAUUAAGAAGAUUUUUGAAAAAAGUUAAAUAUUUGAGCGAAGCAUACCUAAUAAAUACGUCUGCUCCAGUCAUUUUACGGAUCGGGUGUAUGGCGAAUAGGAAAUAAGUACCUGGGCGACCGAGCUUUGCUCGGUUAUAACUAUUUAUAACAUAAACUUAAAAAAGUAAAAUGUGAACUGACAAUUAUUAUUAUUUACAAUCGGUUUCAGUGUA